AUAAGUUUUUCGAUCCUUUAUACUACUUUUCUUUUUAUAUUCUACCAUUUUUUUAACAAAAUCCGUUUUUUUUCGGCCACUGAAAUAAUUUAGGUUUAGGCGCCAUUGUCAUUGAAAUGAAAUUUCAUUCAGCGCCUUGUUGCUUGCUGCCAUUUCGAUCAGCGCCUUCUUGCUUGCUUAAUCAAAUCCGCUGGUUAUAGAGAUCUUGGUGCUUAAUCAAAAUACUCGAUACAAUCUGGUUCGUUCUUGGUUAUAGAGAUCUUCAGUCUGCCACAGAAAUCUGCAGAUUUGAUUGCUGCUGGUUCGUUCAAAGCAGCUUGUUCGUUCAGCGCCUUCUUGGUUCGUUCAAAGCUGCUGGUUCGUGCUUGGUUCGUUCUUGCCAUUUCGAUCAGCCACGGUUAUUGAGGAGUGGACAACUCAUAUUAGAUCAAGUAAAGGUAUCAAUAUACUUCAUACAUAAGGUAUCAAUUUUAAUUUAUCAAUUUCUACUUUGGUGUUGUCUAAUAUUCAUUUUCGUGAAUUAGGGUUCAUGUUUGAAGGUAACUGAAUCAGUAGAUGGCAGCAAUUUAGGGUUCAAUUCAUUGACGCUUUCUCCUAAAAACUUCAAUUCAUUUCUUGCUGCUAUUUCCUUCAAAAUUUCAUGCUCAGCUAAUUACAUUCCUCACAUCGUAGUUUUCUCAUUUCCAGCCAAAUCAAACAAUUGAACAAAAAUGUAACAGAAUCGUCCUUAAUCACCAUUGUGUAAGUUUUCUUCCUCCUUUCUUGUGAUUCCUCUGCUCUUUAAUUGUCAGGGUUCUUUUUUCUUAAACAACAAUUGUUCUUCAUAAGACCACUUUUAGUUUCUAGUUGCAAUUGGGAAAAGGAUGAAAUUUAGAUUAUGUUGAUUCCUCAUUUCGGAAAUUUGAGAUUUGAAAAUGCUUUGGAGUCUUCCUUCUCUUUAAUGGAUGAUUAUAAUAGUGACGGUAUGUAUCUGGCUGCAAUUCAAACAAGUUUUUAAUUUUUGUAUUUUGUGUUAAUUUGGGAUUAAUUUUUGGUUUUGAAUAUUUGUUAAUUGUUUUAUGUUUAUGCUAAUAGCAAUUGAACUUGUUUAUUUCAUAUGAUUAGAUUUUUCUAGAAGUAUGGAGAUAUUUUGAAUCUUAACUAAAAAUAGGAAAGAGGAUUUAAAUUAAGCUAAAAUAUAGGAAUUUAAUUUAAAUUAUAUUUACACGGUUUUAUUAUUUAAAUUAUUAGAUUUUAAAUACUUUAAAUGAGCAUUAACGUGGCGGCUUAUCAAAGAUAUGAAAUAGCUAAAAAUAGUAUCCAAAAACGUGUUUGAAAAAAGUUUCAAAUGAAGCGUCAGUUUUACUUAAGGCUCAAGCUUUUGAAGACUGACCCAGAUUAAAAUAAGACUAACGAGAUUAUAGGAUGAAGCUUCCUUGUUUUUCAAGAUUAUGUUGAGGCGUGACACACAUAUAUAUGAGGCUUCAUUCAAGAAUUAAGACUGCAACACUUCUCCUAAUUUUCUCUCUUGUAUUAAGAUCUAGUAUUCAUAAAGUGUUGUAAAACUUAGUUCAUCUAACUCUUUCAUUUGUAAUAGAUUUUAGAGUUAAAAAGAGUUAAAACGUUUGAUUAUAAUUACGCCUAAGCUUUGAAUGUUUGUUAAAGUAUUCAAUUUGUUUUUUGUAUUGUGAAAUUGAAAUUUGUACUUUUAUUAAGGGAACAUGUAAGACAUUCUUUAAAGGAAAGAACGUGGUGAGAGAAGAUAAAGAUAUCUUCUAAGCUGUCUUAAAGUACAUUAAUAAAAGGCAUUUAAUCCUACGGGUUGUAAAAUAACCCAUAGACGGGGAGUAAGCUAUUAAUAGCUAAACCUCCUGAAACAGUCGUAUUAUUAAUAAUAUUUUAUUAGUCGUUUUUAGCGCCUAAAUUUUUUUAUAUAUUUGUUCAUUACUAAUUAAAAUUUAAUUAGUGAUGGUAGUAAUUUGAAAAAUUUCUACGAUGAUAGAAACUUGUCAACUCGUAACGUAGUUAUGAAGUGUAAGAAGUAACGUAAACUUUGGUGGUAAAACAUAAAGUUGAGUAACUACCUAUAAUGUUUUUGGAUAAUUAUAAUACUUAUUUGAAAACGUUAUUUACCCAUGUUGACAAUAAAUUAAAUAUAUCAUAAACAUAUACAAGUGAUUUUUAAACAUGAAGUUUAUGUUACAUAACUUGUUACAUGUAUAAUAAUUUUUACCCAAACCUUAAACUAUCUUAGAUAAACUUUUCCUACACUAUAAUAGAAUAAAUAAAUCAAUUUGAGGACAAAGAUCACCUCCCAACAACUAAAACCAACCAGCUAUAGGUACCUCAUUUUCCUCCAUUGCAUGCUUUUUAUUCACUUACACACAUAAGCUAAAUGUUCUAUCCAAGACAUCCUCUUGUCAAUGUUGGACAUCAUUACAUGCAUGCAAAGACCAAAUACAAGAGCCAAAGAAUAUGAUUUAUUUUGUAGAAAAUCAAUCACUCCAUCAUCUUCAUUUCACUCAUAAAUUGUCACUUAAUACACUCACAAACUCAUUCAAACAACUUACCUCAAAUACCUCUACAAGUCUUAUAUGUUUUCUGUUUCAAAAUCUCACUAAAACCACUUGAUAAACACCCAUUUGAGAGCAUAAUAGUUGUUGUCCAAAUUAAUAAAAUUAUUAAAUACUCCUCAAGGUAUUCAUAUAAACACAUACAAGACCAUCUCUAAUUACCUCCAACAAAAACACUUUUAUUUCCUUACAAAAACACUUAUGAAAAGACUAUUUAUAUGAAGUUUAUGAAAAUAAAAACUUCAUAAAAACAUUAUUCAUUUUAUUAUACUCCAUCCAUAUCACUUUGGAGAAUUCUUACAAGGUAUUAUAAAUUCAAGUUUACAAACUUUGUUUUUACAACUUAUACUAGAACAAGUACAUAUAAAAAUGAUUUUUGUAUGAAAUCUUUCUCAUAAAUCAAGUAUGUUAUAAAGAUAUAUUUUGUGACUAAAAAGAGGAAAAAUCAUCACUUGUAUAAAUCUAUAAAAGUUGGAAACUAAGAAAAUGUAUUUCCGCAAACUUAUAAAUUUUCUUACUUUAAGGAUUUAAGUAAAAUUAUGGGACUUAAUUAAGUAUAUUUCUCAACAUAAUAGUAUACUCCAAAUAUGUUAAAAUUAUCACAAGAAUUAGUUUAAUAACUCAUAUUAAGGAAAGUUAAGUGCAUGUUAGAAAUCCAAAAUUUUUAUUGAUUUUUGAAUCAAUG